GUGAGGAAUAUUGGUCAAUGGACGCAAGUCUGAACCAGCCAUGCCGCGUGAAGGAUGAAGGCCCUCUGGGUUGUAAACUUCUUUUAUCUGGGACGAAAAAAGGGUAUUCUUACUCACUUGACGGUACCAGAGGAAUAAGCACCGGCUAACUCCGUGCCAGCAGCCGCGGUAAUACGGAGGGUGCAAGCGUUAUCCGGAUUCACUGGGUUUAAAGGGUGCGUAGGUGGGUAUUUAAGUCAGUGGUGAAAUCUCCGAACUUAACUCGGAAACUGCCAUUGAUACUAUUUACCUUGAAUGCCCUGGAGGUAAGCGGAAUAUGUCAUGUAGCGGUGAAAUGCUUAGAUAUGACAUAGAACACCAAUUGCGAAGGCAGCUUACUACGGGGUGAUUGACACUGAGGCACGAAAGCGUGGGGAGCAAACAGGAUUAGAAACCCCGGUAGUCC
rnacentral:rRNA from 1 species